rnacentral:siRNA from 1 species
CGAGAAGAAAACAUCGCAAUGC